GUCAAAAUCCAAGUUGAUAACAGAUUCCACAUCUUUCCUGCCAUAAGUAAUUAUAAUUUGCACAAAUGUAUUCGAGCCCUCGAAUCCAAUUAAUUGUGCAACCAACAUCUUUCUUUAGUUCAGUUCAAGUCCUUCAAUUUUCAAAGUGUAGAAUUUGAUCCCCAAACUUUCCAUCCAGUGGCCAAUUUAAUUCCCGUACUUUGGAUUUUGCCAUUUUUCAUGGAUUUUUGCUUCUUUCCUUUAAUUCCUUUGUCAUUCAUAAAGUCUCACAUAUUAAACAUAAAAUACAACAAAUUAGGAUACCAUUUGUCAAAAGAACUAUCAAAUAUCGUUAUUUUAUAACCAAAUAAAUGUAUAAAAUACACUUAUCAAUUACUUUAUUCAGCAGUCAAAUUAGGUUUGUUUUCAGCUCGUCUAAAAAGGCUCACUGUAGAAUAUAUUUAACAAUGAACUAAAAUUUUGUUGUAUAAUUUACAUGAUGAAUAACGAAAAUUUUUGUUGCUAUUUUUGAAAUUUCAUCGUUAAAAAACAGAUUGGAUGAUAAACUUAUCAAUUAAUGAAUAGAUCAAGGUUAUGAUUACAAUUGAACCCCUUUAUCCAUAUUUUAAUAAAGUGAGAUGAGAUAUAGAUAUAUAAAAGUGGUGUGUUAAAUGCUUUAAUAAUUAAGAGAUAUGAAAUUUAUCCUUAACAGAAAAUCAUCCAAUACGGUAACUAACAUAUUAACUACAACACGACGCACGAUAAGGGUCCAUAACUCCAUAUGCAGAGACAGGGCCUUCGGAAUUAGAGAGAGAAGAAAAUGAUAAGCUUCAGCUCCUAUUCCCAGAAUGCGUGCAUGUUAAAUAUAAUCAUGAUGGUAUUUUACCAGAAGGAUUCCUUCUGGUUUCUGAUUCCAUUUUACUGCUUUACUUUCUUUACUACUUUUUAAAUUUGAAACCUUGCGAUGAAAUAGUUAUAUUGUGCACUAAAAAAUGAUGGUUCAUAAUUAUCCAUAUAUCUAUAACAAAAUUAUGCUGAAUUAUCAGAGUCUAAUCUACUUCAACAGUGACUAAUUGAGAACAAAUUAUACAAUAUAAACUUAGCCCAUGUUGACUCAUGUUUACAUAUGAGCUGUUAUAAAUACAUAAACGACUUUUUAUUGACACAUUUGAAUGACCUAUAAAUAAUAUCUACUUAUUCAUCACAUUUUUUAUUCACUUAUACUUAUAAUUUAAAUUAUUUAUAAACACUUUCAAUACGUGCUUAAUUCUUUUCAUAAUCUUUUUAGAGAUAAUCAUAUUGAUCUCAACAACUAGUGGAGACAAUUGAGUGUGAUGUGGUUUUACAUUUUUUUUUUUUUUACGGGGAAUUCGCAGCCGCUACACUUCGAAUGCGUAUUGGGUAAAUUCUCAAACUGAUGUAAUAGCUUGCAAACUCGCACUAGGCAAGCCCUGUACGACAUGUUCAGAAAGUAUUGGUAGGAAGAGUCGAACUCGUGAUCAAAGACCUCCGCGCUCAUCUACUCUACCAACUCGGCCACUUCAUGUGGGGAUGAUGUGGUUUUACUUUUCUCUUAUUAAUGGAGGCUCAGCAUAUCGGAACAAAGAUAUAUACCAUAUUCUAUGUCCUACGAAAUUGUUGCCUAACAUAGGUCCUGAACCACUACUUAAGAGAAGAAUAUUACAUAUUAGACUUUCCGAAAUUUAUGUGGAUCGGGACACCCACGUGGUUCUUGUAGAUGCCAAGUGGACAUGAAUCAUGGGAAAAUCUUUUUCCAAUGUUGGACGCUUCUAAAAUUCCAUUGAAGAUAGUAUUGCUUUUCAAUGCUACUUAUCUAUAUUAAUUUAUUUUAGCAUUUAGUUUCCAUGAACAAGUGGAUUGUGUUAAAAGUUGUAGACUCUGUUUCGGUAAGAAAAAUGCAUCGUAGAUUCAGAAGAGUAAGAGAAAUUUUCUUGCAGACAGAGAUAAUUAAAAAUAAUUCUUUCAUUUCUCUUAAAAUAUUCUUCUUUCACUAAUAAAUAUCUAACGAGCCAUAACCCAUAUUUGUUCUAUUCUAAAGAUUGAAAUCAACUUACUAUGUCCAUUUUAUUAGUCGUUUGGACAUAUAUAUAAGAACCAAGAAAAGGAAGAGAGCGUCCCCCCAGGGCAUAUCUCAACUGGUAAAGAUGAGGGCACUUCAAGACUGACAAAUCAAAAGUCGUGAGUUCAAUUCUUGAAAGGCUCUUGGAAGGCAGAUAUUCUUCUGGAAGGCAGGAUUUAUCUCGGAAGACAGGAGCUCUACUGGAAGGCAAUGUGCAAAGAUGAGAAACAACUUGCUUGGCACUUUGACAUAUCAAUUGGGGGGCUCUUGAUCAGUGGUCAGUUUGGGGCACAACCUGCGGUUUAACCUGUCUGCGGCUUGAGGGGCCAAGGUGUAGACUCCAGGAUUUAGUCACUGUAAGGUGGAUACCUGGAUAUCCAAAAAAAAAUAAAAAAAGGAAGAGAGCCGUAGAAAAGGUGUUGUAUAAGUAUAAUCAAUUAUUUAGAUUAAUUUAUUGUUGUAUUUGUUGUGUGGUCCGCCACAUGUAGGGUGGACAAAAUCUAUUUUACUACAAAUGUUAUCAAAUUUUCAAAGAAGAGAAAAUCAAUUUUGCUUCCUCAAUCAAUGGAAAAGUUUGAGAAAAAAUUGAAGUAAAGUUCAAAUCUUCUUUUCCAAUCAAUGAAAAAGUUUGACAAGAAAAUGAAGUUGAGUUCAACUCUUCCAUCCAACAUUUGCUUAUAAACAGGGUGAGAGAUUGUCACUGUCGGACCCACGGUGCGUCUUGGUUGGUAACGUGACCAAUUAUUUUUUUGAUCAGAUUUCAAAAGUUUAAAGCCAAAAUCAGAUUUAUCCUUCAUUCUCCAGUUGCCCUUCGCAAAACGGCAAAACCCGUUCAGCCAUUCCAUUGAAGCAGAAAAACUCUUUAAUCAUUAGCCUUGGAAGCAAAAGAACCCGAUUCAACGGAUGCAUGAUAUGCUUGUUCUGUUUGAAGAUUGUAUAAUGGGUUUGUGUUUAAACAUGAAAUGAUGCUGUUUAUGGGUUUGUUUUAGGGAUCGGAGGUCUGUAUAGGCUAAGUGUAUCUAAUUUGUCUAAAUGAAUUGAUAUGACAUUGUUAUCUUAGUCUGAAACCUUGUUUAUAUGGUUGUUGGGAAAUUGUCAACAUCAAGGGGUUUGGAGAAGAAAACUGAGAAACAAAAUAUCAAGAAGAUAAAAUGAGUAGAGAUUGAAACAAAAUAUAAAGGCUCAAAUAUGAAAUUAAUCUCGCUGUUCUCAAACGAUAUUUGUCCCCUCUCGGAUAUAAUUUUGGGGCUUAAAUGGUUUUAUGGAAAAAUGUUCGUAAGAUUGAUCAAGUCUUGUUAUUGAAAAACACUAAAGCAUAAAUGUUUUUCCAGUCGAAGUUGAAGAACAC
rnacentral:lncRNA from 1 species